UACGAAGGGGGCUAGCGUUGCUCGGAAUCACUGGGCGUAAAGGGUGCGUAGGCGGGUUUUAAGUCAGGGGUGAAAUCCUGGAGCUCAACUCCAGAACUGCCUUUGAUACUGAAGAUCUUGAGUUCGGGAGAGGUGAGUGGAACUGCGAGUGUAGAGGUGAAAUUCGUAGAUAUUCGCAAGAACACUAGUGGCGAAGGCGGCUCACUGGCCCGGUACUGACGCUGAGGUGCGAAAGCGUGGGGAGCAAACAGG
rnacentral:rRNA from 1 species